GACGAACGCUGGCGGCGUGCUUAACACAUGCAAGUCGAACGGAAAGGCCCUGCACUUGUGGGGUGCUCGAGUGGCGAACGGGUGAGUAACACGUGAGUAACCUGUCCUUUACAUUGGGAUAACUUCAGGAAAAUGGGGCGCAUACCCGAUAGGAGCUCCUGCUGCAUGGUGGGGGUUGGAAAGUUGCGGCGGUUGGGGAUGGACUCGCGGCCUAUCAGCUUGUUGGUGGGGUAGUGUCUUACCAAGGCUUUGACGGGUAGCCGGCCUGGGAGGGUGACCGGCCACAUUGGGACUGAGAUACGGCCCAGACGGCUACGGGAGGCAGCGGUGGAGAAUAUUGCAAAAUGGGCGGAAGCCUGAUGCAGGAGCGCCGCGUGCGGGAUGACGGCCUUCGGGGUGUAAACCGCGUUCGCGUGUGACGAAGCGUGAGUGACGGUAAUGGGUAAAGAAGCACCGGCUAACUACGUG
rnacentral:rRNA from 1 species